UACGUAGGGUGCAAGCGUUAAUCGGAAUUACUGGGCGUAAAGCGUGCGCAGGCGGUUUUGUAAGUUUGUCGUGAAAGCCCCGGGCUCAACCUGGGAAUUGCGAUGAAGACUGCAAGGCUUGAAUCUGGCAGAGGGGGGUAGAAUUCCACGUGUAGCAGUGAAAUGCGUAGAGAUGUGGAGGAACACCGAUGGCGAAGGCAGCCUCCUGGGCUAGUACUGACGCUCAUGCACGAAAGCGUGGGGAGCAAACAGG
rnacentral:rRNA from 1 species